AGUGAACGCUGGCAGUAGGCCUAACACAUGCAAGUCGAACGGCAGCACAGUAAGAGCUUGCUCUUACGGGUGGCGAGUGGCGGACGGGUGAGGAAUACAUCGGAAUCUACUUUUUCGUGGGGGAUAACGUAGGGAAACUUACGCUAAUACCGCAUACGACCUACGGGUGAAAGCAGGGGAUCUUCGGACCUUGCGCGAAUGAAUGAGCCGAUGGCGGAUUAGCUAGUUGGCGGGGUAAAGGCCCACCAAGGCGACGAUCCGUAGCUGGUCAGAGAGGAUGAUCAGCCACACUGGAACUGAGACACGGUCCAGACUCCUACGGGAGGCAGCAGUGGGGAAUAUUGGACAAUGGGCGCAAGCCUGAUCCAGCCAUACCGCGUGGGUGAAGAAGGCCUUCGGGUUGUAAAGCCCUUUUGUUGGGAAAGAAAAGCAGCAGGUUAAUACCCCGCUGUUCUGACGGUACCCAAAGAAUAAGCACCGGCUAACUUCGUG
rnacentral:rRNA from 1 species